UUUCCAAAUCUCUCGUCCCACCUUACGAGAAACACCCACAGGUGUGUAGGGGCAACCCACCCCUACAUGGCACAAUCUCAGCUCACUGCAGCCUCUGCCUCCCAGGUUCAAGCGAUUAUCCUGCCUCAGCCUCCUGAGUAGCUGGGACUACAGGCGCCUGCCACCACACCCAGCUAAUUUUUGUAUUUUUAGUAGAAACAUGCUUUCACCAUGUUGGUCAGGUGGGUCUGGAACUCCUGGACUCAGCUGAUCCGCCCGCCUCGGCCUCCCAAACUGCUGGGAUUACAGGUGUGAGCCACUGCGCCCAGCCUAACAAGUACAUAUUUAUUUUUUAAAAUUAGAGACGGAGUCUGACUGUCACCCAGUCUGGAGUGCAAUGGCGUGAUCCUAGCUCACUGCAGCCUCAUACUCCUGGGCUUAAGGGAUUCUCCUGCCUCAGCCUCUUGAGUAGUUAGGACUACAGGCACAUGCCACCACACCUGGCUAUUUUUUUUUUUUUAGAGAUGGGGUCUUGCUAUAUUGCCCAGGCUGUCCCGAAUUCCUGUCCUCAAGCAACACCCCUCCCUCAGCCUCCCUAAAUGCUGGGAUUACAGGCAUGAGCCACCAUGCCCACCCCCAACCCUUCUUAGCCAUCUCUACCUAUAUAUAUGUAUAUAAGCUGGAUAUGGUAGGUGGCCCAUGCCCAUAGUCGCAGCUACUCAGGAGGCUGAGGUGGGAGGAUUGUUUCAGCCCAGGAAUUUGAGGCUGCAGUGAGCUAUGAUCAUGCCACUGCAAUCCAGCUGGGGCAACAGAGUAAUCCUGUCUCUAAAAAUAAUAAUAAUAAUACGAAAAAUAAAAUAUAUUAACUAUUCAUUAAGUGGAAAUGGAUCAUCACAAAUGUCGGCUGAGUAGUCUGAGGAGGAGGAGGAGAAAGAGGAGGGGGUUGGUCCUGCUGUCUCAGGGCAGAGGCGGUAGAAAAUCUCCUUAAGCCGGGCGUGAGCCACCGCGCCUGGCCACAAGUAGAUUUUAUAUAUACAUGUUGUCAAGUCUGUCCCACAGACUCUGGCCGAGCAAUGAAUGAAAGGAGUACUCAGACACGGGUAUCCAGUGAAUUCACAGCCCCCCUAAGCCGGUAACGCAUUUAUUCAGUACAGAUUUUUUUUUUUUUUUUUUGAGAUGGAGUAUUGCUCUGUCGCUCAGGCUGGAGUGCAGUGGCGCGAUAUCAGCUCACUGCAAGCUCCGCCUCCUGGGUUCAUGCCAUUCUCCUGCCUCAGCCUCCCAAGUAGCUGAGACUACAGGCACCCGCCACCGUGCCUGGCUAAUUUUUUUUUUUUAAAUAUUUUUAGGAGAGACGGGUUUCACCACUUUAGCCAGGAUGGUCCCGAUCUCCUGACCUUGUGAUCCGCCCACCUCGGCCUCCCAAAGUGCUGGGAUUACAGGCGUGAGCCACUGUGCCCGGCCUAUUUAGUACAGAUUUAACGACAAGGGCUUGGAGCAAACACAAUUUGUGGGUAAUAAACAUUGUCGACCCCCCAAGUAGAGAGCAGUCCUGCAGGCGAAUGAUCAAAGGUUGGUUUCUGCAGACAGGAGUAAACAAAUUUAUCUAGAUAAGUUCCUUUACAUUCCCUUGUUAUCUACCCUUUGCUCUCAGGCUCUGGAUAAGAGAAUUUGGCUGCCUUCAGCCAAAUUUUAUUUCGAAGCUUUUGCAAAACCUCCCGGCCUUCCAAGAAGGUUUGUGUCUUUCCCUAUAAUUUCUUCCACCACCCUGACCAAUUUCCUACAUCUCCCCCUUUUCUGUUUUUUGCAUCAGGUUUUGUUGAUUGAAGAGUACAGAUGUGUGCAGCAACAGGUUUGUCAGGCGUAGCGGUCACUGCUUGUAUUUUGGCUUUGCAUCCUAGAAUUAGUAAAUAACGUAAGACAAACCUGAGUAUAAUCAGUAACAUUCCUUUCCAAUCAAGGAGUGACAUGUAGUGUUACCUAGCACCUCAGUCUAAUGUGUGCCAUUACUGAGGAACCCCACUUGGGGUAAGUCAAUCCCUUCUAGCCUAGCAGUUGCUUUAUUAGAAGCUGGGAAGGGGGUGUUUGUCUAAGUAACAGGGUGGAAGAAAGGCAGAAUUAGAAGAUGGGCCUAAUAGAGUGUAGCAGGUACAGGUAGUAGGCAAAGUGAGAGAAUAAAAAAGGAACAAAUUAUUUGGAGUGAACAUGUUUGUGUUUGGAGCAGGAUUCGCUUAGCCUCCUGAGUUGUCUUCUUUAGCAUUCAGUCUGGGGCCUGUGUUGUCUGAGGAAGCCACAUUGUCCAGGGCUGAGUCCUGCAGGAUUAUUUUCUUUAUUACCGGGUUAGGUUCUACCCACACUCUGGUAAGGUUUGAUGCAUUGUGCUGGAAUCCAAAGAGGACCUGAGGGGGGUGUGAACACAAGCAUAUCCUCUUCCUCACGUUAGCAAAUCAUUUGGACCACACCAUACAUUACUAUUUACAUCUUUCCAUAAAACUGUGGGUUUUAUGUCUCGAGAGGUUUUAGCAAAGUGCUUUUCUAUAGCUGAUUGAAAUUUAUCAUUUAAAUUUAAGAAAUUAAGGGUAAAUAAGGCUUGUGCUAGUAGUGUUGCAGGGUCCUUACUCAUAAUUCCCCUUUUUGGUUUUCUGAGCAUAUUUUUAAGAGAGGAAUGGACACAUUCUACUAUGGCCUAUCCUUGGGGGUUAUACGGAUGCCUGUGGAAUGCUGGAUAUUCCAUGUAUAACAAAAUUGUUGAAAUUGUGAACUAGCAUAAGCCAGACCAUUAUCAGUUUUAAUUUUUGUGGGUCACCCCAUAAGUGCAAAGGUUAAAAGAAGAUGUUUAAUGACAUACCAGGUGGACUCUCCAGGAAGAGCAUGAGCACUAAUUAAGUGAGAACUGGUAUCAACGGAUGCAUGUACAUAUCUUAGUUUUCCAAAUUCAGGGACUUGAGUAACAUCUCUUUGCUAUAACUGAUUAGGUUCUAGUCCCUAGGGUUAAUACCUGUUAAAGGAGGGGACGUGCCUGUGAGCUGGCAAUCUGGGCACUGCAGGAUAAUUUGUUUAUCUAGUCUUUGGUUAAGUUGAAAUUGUUAAGUUCCUCCAAUUUUGGUGGAAAAAUUGAUGUGAUUAUGUGGUUUGGUCAAGCAGUGACAUCAUAACUUGCAGGUCUGCUUGAUUAUUGCCAUAAGCCAGUGGGCCAGGCAGUGAGCUGUGGGCUUGAAUAGUGUAUGAUAAAAAUAGGGUGUGUACGUUGAUCCAGCAAUUGCUGAAGUUGAAGAAAACGUGCACACGGUGGGCUCGACAGUAGACUUAAUGAGGCCUGUUUCAAGGUUCUGCAAUAAACAGAGUAAGCAAAGUCACCAACAAUAUUGAUAGGCUGAGUGGAAAAGUUCUCCAGGCCAAUAUUAAGGCUUCAACCCCAGCUCUCUGAGUGCUAGUAAAUCCAGAACAAGUGAGGGAAUUAUGUGGUCUCCACCAAAUAGCCACUUUUCCAUUUUUACCAGAGCCGUCAGUAAAAAGCAUUAAAGUGUUAGGUAUGUGCCUACUUUUGUAGGCACAAUUACAGGAGUACAAGAUAAGAACUGAAUGAGUUUGUCAGCAGUAAAGGCAUGCUCUAUAUGGCCUACAUAAUUAGAAAGUGUUAUCUGAAGAUUUAGAGAUGGGGCAAUGCUGCUUCAAAUUGCUUUUUACUCAAAGGAAUUCUUAUGACAUCAGGGUCAUAACCUAGCAACUGAUUGCAUCAUCUGCAGCUUGUGUAGGUGACUUCAAUAACUAGCUGGAUAUAGGGAGAUAGUGUUUUAGUCCCGGUAUGUGAGCAAAAAACCCAUUCUAGAAAGCAUAGCCCUGGGGCCAUCUGUCCUAUUAAUUCUGUUGGGGAAUGCUUAGUAGGAAAAACAAACAAUAGAACUGAAUAUCAUGGGUCUAUGUGAUCUAGCUGCCUCUGAGAAAUAGCUUGCUCUAUUUCCUCAAUUUCCCUUUUUGCUGCAGGAGUUAAAUACCUGGGAGAGUCUAGGGCUGUAUUGCCCUUUAGGAUAGAAAACAGGUUUUGUAACUUAUCAGUAGUUAUGCCCAAGAUGGGGUGAAGCAAAUUAAUACCACCCAGUAUUUUUUGAUAAUCAUUUAAGGUGUGUAAGUUGCUAAUAUUUAAUUUAACCUUUUGACAUCUUACUGACCGAGAAGUUAGUAUGUAUCCAAGAUACUUCCAAGGAGAGGACAACUGUACUUUUUCAGGUGCUAUGAUUAAACCUCUUAACUGUGUAUUCUUUAUGACAGAGGCAUAGAAACUGAAAAGCAUUGGCUCCAUUGGGGCUGCUAGUAAAAUAUGAUCCAUAAAAUGAAUAAUCUUGCAAUUAGGAAAUUCUUUUCUAUUGGGGAGCAAAGCCUGAUUUAUAUGAUACAGACAUAUCCAGACACAGGUAUCCAGUGAAAGAGUGGGCUAGGACUGUUCAGCAUUCCUUGAGGAGGAACUUUCCAAUGAGAUUUGUGAGCUGGCCUUUCAUUAUUGAUAGCUGGUAUUGUAAAUACAAAUUUUUCUCUGUCCUGUUCUGCAAGGGGAAUAGUAUAAAAGCAGUCUUGGCCGGGCGCGGUGGCUCAUGCCUGUAAUCCCAGCACUUUGGGAGGCCGAGGCGGGCGGAU
rnacentral:lncRNA from 10 species